rnacentral:rRNA from 1 species
CUAAGUUUGAUGGCGACCGGCGCACGGGUGAGUAACACGUAUCCAACCUGCCGAUGACUCGGGGGUAGCCUUUCGAAAGAAAGAUUAAUACCCGAUGGCAUAGUUCUUCCGCAUGGUAGAACUAUUAAAGAAUUUCGGUCAUCGAUGGGGAUGCGUUCCAUUAGGUUGUUGGCGGGGUAACGGCCCACCAAGCCUUCGAUGGAUAGGGGUUCUGAGAGGAAGGUCCCCCACAUUGGAACUGAGACACGGUCCAA